rnacentral:rRNA from 1 species
AGAGUUUGAUUAUGGCUCAGGAUGAACGCUAGCUACAGGCUUAACACAUGCAAGUCGAGGGGCAGCAUAAUCGAAGCUUGCUUGAUUGAUGGCGACCGGCGCACGGGUGAGUAACGCGUAUCCAACCUUCCCCUUAGUAGGGCAUAGCCCGGCGAAAGUCGGAUUAAUACCCUAUGUUAUCCGUCGAGGGCAUCUGAAGUGGAUUAAAGAUUUAUCGCUAAGGGAUGGGGAUGCGUCUGAUUAGGUUGUUGGCGGGUAACGGCCCACCAAGCCUACGAUCAGUAGGGGUUCUGAGAGGAAGGUCCCCCACAUUGGUACUGAGACACGGACCAAACUCCUACGGGAGGCAGCAGUGAGGAAUAUUGGUCAAUGGGCGAGAGCCUGAACCAGCCAAGUAGCGUGCCAGGAUGACGGCCCUAUGGGUUGUAAACUGCUUUUGCAUGGGAAUAAAGUCGGGGACGUGUCCCCGUUUGUAUGUACCAUGAGAAUAAGGACCGGCUAAUUCCGUGCCAGCCGCAGC